UAGGAAGCGGUGUAGUGGAAGCACAAAGAAUUUUGAUUUCUUUAGAGGAGGUUCGAAUCCUCCCUUCCUAA
rnacentral:tRNA from 1 species